CGCGAAUAGCUCAUUACAACAGCCGUUGUUUCUUGGAUCUCCGCUUUUACUUGGAUAACUGUGGCAAUUCUAGAGCUAAUACAUGCAAUCGAGCUCCGACUUAACAGGACGAGCGCAUUUAUUAGACCAAAACCAAUCGGCGCAAGCCGUUUUCUGGUGAAUCUGAAUAACUACGCAGAUCGCUUCGGUUUCACACCGGCGACAUAUCCUUCAAGUGUCUGCUUUAUCAACUUUCGUUGGUAGUUUAUACGCCUACCAAGGUUUUAACGGAUAACGGAGAAUCAGGGUUCGACUCCGGAGAGGGAGCCUGAGAAACGGCUACCACUUCCAAGGAAGGCAGCAGGCGCGCAAAUUACCCACUCUCGGCACGAGGAGGUAGUGACGAAAAAUAACGAGAUAACCCGCUCUAGCGAGUUAUCAUCGGAAUGAGUACAAUCUAAAUCCUUUAACGAGGACCUAGCGGAGGGCAAGUCUGGUGCCAGCAGCCGCGGUAAUUCCAGCUCCGCCAGUGUAUAUCUAUGCUGCUGCGGUUAAAAAGCUCGUAGUUGGAUCUUCGUGAUCGUCCCAGUCCGCCUUUGUGGCGUGAACUGACGACGUUCACUGAAUCGCUGCUUUACCCUUGUUGCUCUUAACCGGGUGACCUGGGUGGGUAGCAUGUUUACUUUGAAAAAAUUAGAGUGCUUAAAACAAGCGAUUUGCUUGAAUAUUCGUGCAUGGAAUAAUAGAAUAGGCUUUUGGCUCUAUUUUGUUGGUUUUCGGAGCACAAGAGAAUGAUUAAGAGGGACAGACGGGGGCAUUCGUACUCCGACGUUAGAGGUGAAAUUCUUGGAUCGUCGGAUGACGCACUACUGCGAAAGCAUUUGCCAAGAAUGUUUUCAUUAAUCAAGAACGAAAGUUAGAGGUUCGAAGGCGAUCAGAUACCGCCC
rnacentral:rRNA from 1 species